rnacentral:rRNA from 1 species
UACGAAGGGGGCUAGCGUUGCUCGGAAUUACUGGGCGUAAAGGGCUCGUAGGCGGCCAACUAAGUCAAACGUGAAAUCCCCUCGGCUUAACCGGGGAACUGCGUCUGAUACUGGAUGGCUUAGUAUGGGAGAGGGAUGCGGAAUUCCAGGUGUAGCGGUGAAAUGCGCGAUAUCGAGGAAGAACCGAGCCGGUAGGCGGAAGCGGUCGACCUGGCCUAACUGCGUCGUGAGGAAAGCCGGGAAAGCCAAUGGGGG